rnacentral:tRNA from 3 species
GUAGAUGUAGUUUAAUAAAAACACUAGAUUGUGAUUCUAAAGACAAAGGUUAAAAUCCUUUCUUCCACC